GCAAAACUAUGAGUCAAGAAGAUGUAAUUGACAAAUCAAGGCACAGAUGGUGAAUGGCUCAGGCAGUGAGACACAAGAUGUGAAAUAAAGUCACCUUUAUUGAGACUUCCAACCACAACAUAAAAGAAGUCAUCCCUAAGGAAAACUCUUCAUUUCAAAAGAAGCCUAUCAUUGAAAUGUUCUUUUUGCAAUAACCCAUUGACAGCACCUGAAGUGAUUUAAAAUGGCAUUCAAAGAAUAGUUCAAGAAAA